rnacentral:rRNA from 1 species
AGCUCUUCAAGUGAUCGGGACUAUUAUUGGGCUUAAAGUGUCCGUAGCCGGUUUGGUAAGUCCCUGGUUAAAUCUGGCAGCUUAACUGUCAGUUCGCUAGGGAAACUACCUUACUAGAGGGCGGGAAAGGUGUGAGGUACUCCAGGGGUAGCGGUGAAAUGCGAUAAUCCUUGGGGGACCACCAGUGGCGAAGGCGUCAGACUGGAACGCGCCUGACGGUGAGGGACGAAAGCCAGGGGAGCGAACGG